rnacentral:lncRNA from 1 species
UGUACCUUUCUUUCAUCAACCUAUCAAACCCUCAGCUCUCUCAUGAGACUCACCCACUGACCUAUCUCUUCUCCCUCUCGCUGAAAUCCGACCACUGGAACUCCGUCUCCGACGACAUAUUGGUCCGACAAACACCCACCAGCAUCACCCCCCACUCACCUGGUUACCCUCUCUAAAUGAAACGGCUGGCCACCACCACCGUCUGGUGCCGGCGCGGCGACGAGGAGAGAGAGACUCAGAGAUAGACGAAGAGAGAGAGGGAGAGAGUGGCGUAAGAGAGGAAGAGACCGAGGAGGAGAGACGGUGGAGGUUGAUGACGGCGGCAGCGCCGCCGUACACGGUGGCAGGUGACAUACGACGGUGAUGGAUGUACGAGCCUCUCCGAUUGGGCUAGGAAUCGGAAACGCCUAAGAGAAAUAUUAGAAUGGAAACUGCCUGGUUCGGUGGGAUCACUAACACAAUGUUCUAUAAAGAGGAAUCGCAACGCUCAAACGUAUAACCUCUACCUCAAUUUGACCGAAGAAUUCGUCUCACAACUCACACCCGCGGUUUUCUUCCUCUUCCGUC